AGAGUUUGAUCAUGGCUCAGGAUGAACGCCGGCGGUGUGCCUAAUACAUGCAAGUCGUACGCACUGGCCCAACUGAUUGAUGGUGCUUGCACCUGAUUGACGAUGGAUCACCAGUGAGUGGCGGACGGGUGAGUAACACGUAGGUAACCUGCCUCGGAGCGGGGGAUAACAUUUGGAAACAGAUGCUAAUACCGCAUAACAACAAAAGCCACAUGGCUUUUGUUUGAAAGAUGGCUUUGACUAUCACUCUGGGAUGGACCUGCGGUGCAUUAGCUAGUUGGUAAGGUAACGGCUUACCAAGGCGAUGAUGCAUAGCCGAGUUGAGAGACUGAUCGGCCACAAUGGAACUGAGACACGGUCCAUACUCCUACGGGAGGCAGCAGUAGGGAAUCUUCCACAAUGGGCGCAAGCCUGAUGGAGCAACACCGCGUGAGUGAAGAAGGGUUUCGGCUCGUAAAGCUCUGUUGUUGGAGAAGAACGUGCGUGAGAGUAACUGUUCACGCAGUGACGGUAUCCAACCAGAAAGUCACGGCUAACUACGUGCCAGCAGCCGCGGUAAUACGUAGGUGGCAAGCGUUAUCCGGAUUUAUUGGGCGUAAAGCGAGCGCAGGCGGUUGCUUAGGUCUGAUGUGAAAGCCUUCGGCUUAACCGAAGAAGUGCAUCGGAAACCGGGCAACUUGAGUGCAGAAGAGGACAGUGGAACUCCAUGUGUAGCGGUGGAAUGCGUAGAUAUAUGGAAGAACACCAGUGGCGAAGGCGGCUGUCUGGUCUGCAACUGACGCUGAGGCUCGAAAGCAUGGGUAGCGAACAGGAUUAGAUACCCUGGUAGUCCAUGCCGUAAACGAUGAGUGCUAGGUGUUGGAGGGUUUCCGCCCUUCAGUGCCGGAGCU
rnacentral:rRNA from 1 species